CUGUACUGGUCCAUACUGGUCCGUACCGAUCCAUACCGGUCUGUACUGAUCCAUACCGGUCCGUACUGAUCCAUACCGGUGUAUACUGGUCUAUACUGGUUUAUACUGGUCUAUACUGGUUUAUACUGGUUUGGACUGGGAGGGCACUGGGAGCGACUGGGAAGGGAUUGGGUGGUGCUGAGCCUGAUCUCUACUGGUCCAUACUGGUCCAUACUGGUCCGUACUGGUCCGUACUGAUCCAUACCGGUCCAUACUUGUCCAUACUGGUUUAUACUGGUUUAUACUGGGAGCGACUGGGAAGGGAUUGGGUGGUGCUGAGCCUGAUCUGUACUGGUCCAUACUGGUCUGUACCGGUCUGUACUGAUCCAUACCGGUGUAUACUGGUCCAUACUGGUUUAUACUGGUCUAUACUGGUCUAUACUGGUUUAUACUGGGAGGGACUGGGAAGGGAUUGGGUGGUGCUGAGCCUGAUCUGUACUGGUCCGUACCGAUCCAUACCGAUCCGUACCGAUCCGUACCGGUCCGUACUGGUCCAUACCGGUCCAUACUUGUCCAUACUGGUUUAUACUGGUUUAUACUGGUUUGGAUUGGGAGGGACUGGGAAGGGAUUGGGUGGUGCUGAGUUGAUCUGUACUGGUCCGUACCGGUCCGUACCGAUCCAUACUGAUCCAUACCGGUCCGUACUGAUCCAUACCGGUGUAUACUGGUCUAUACUGGUUUAUACUGGUCUAUACUGGUUUAUACUGGUUUGGACUGGGAGGGCACUGGGAGGGACUGGGAAGGGAUUGGGUGGUGCUGAGCCUGAUCUGUACUGGUCCAUACUGGUCCGUACCGAUCCAUACCGGUCUGUACGGAUCCGUACCGGUCCGUACUGCUCCAUACUGGUCCAUACUGGUUUAUACUGGUCUGUACUGGUUUCCGCAGGCGCUGCGCCGCUGCCGCUCCCUGCUGGGCCGGGGCCGCUGGCUGGGGGCGGGGCAGGCGCUGCUGGACGGGGGGAGGGGCCGCUACCUGCUGGCCAAGGGCGGGGCCCUGCUGCUCAAGAUCCGGCUGGAGGAGCUGCGCGUGCUGUUGGACACCUACCCCGCCCCCACCGUCCAGGCCCACCGGCGAAUCAGGGACUCCCUCGCCGGGGGGCGCCGCGCGGCCGAGGCCGAGGCCGCCAUCUUGGGGGCGGAGCUGGCGGCGCUGCGGGAGCUGGGCCCGCAAUUCCGGGCGCUGGCGCUGGAGCUGGGCCGCAUCCGCCAGGAAUGCGCCCAGAAACGCUGGGCCCUCCUCCAGCUCCGCCCCCCGCCCCCGUGACGUCACCGCGCCUCAUUAAAAUACCGCCGGCCACGCCCACUC